UUUUUUUGGCACAACGUAAAGUGGAAUUGGAUGCACACUUCAAAGAAAAAUCCCCCCCCCUCCCCCUCAAAAUUUAUCAAACUGAAAACCUCCAUAGCAAACUUCUCUCUUUGCUCUCGACCAAAGAUCCAAAACCAUCGAACUGGAAAUCUAGCGCCCUCAACCAAAAUUUCUUGCGAAAUCUUCGCUCAAUCACUUGUAAUCCAGCACCCUCAGCUCAUAAUACUGAAAGCCCAGAAGAACCUCACUCAUCUCGCUCCGAAUAAAAUCUCAUUUCAUAUCUAAAACCUAUGGGGGACCUCCCUCUGAAAACCUAUGCUCUCCCUCUCUCUGGGUGUCUCUUCAUCGUUGUUGUCUCUCUCUCUCUCUCUCUCUCCUCGACGGCACCGGCACUCUCCCUCUCCCCUCGACGGUCGACGACGCUCGCUCUUCUCGACAAGUGACGGCUAAGUCCCUCUCUCAAAUCAAGAACUUGAUCAGUUCCUCUCUCUCAGAUUCGAUCAAUAGCAUUCUGGGUUUUUAAUUCUUGUUCUUUUGUGAAAUAAUCUACUAGUAAUAUAUUGUAUAUCUGCUAGUUUCUGAGACUGCUCGUUUCGUUGGUUUUGAUGUGAUGAUGAGUUUUGAAUUUUGAUUAUGUGUGUAUGUUUUGCUUUGAAUUGAUAUUUGAUGAUAUAGAACGGUAAAUCUGAUAGUAAUUGCUUUGAAAUUAUUGUUGAACUAUGCUCUGUGCCUCUGGGUAUAUAGAUCCUCAGUGAAACUUUUGAAUUUUUGGGGGUUUGAUUUAUGUUAAGAUUGCAGGCUACGAUUGGAAUUGAUUUUCUGUCAAAAACGAUGUAGCUUAAAGAUCGGACAGUUCGUUUGCAGUUUUCGUUUGAAGAUUGGUAAUCUGAACUCUUAGAAUUAUGGAAGUCCUGAUUUGGUACAAGUACUAUGGAAACAUGAUAGACUCUUUGCAAAAGACUGGAUUUUUUUGGCCCCCUUAGCUCUAUAUAUGACUCGGUUAUCUGCAUUUUCAAUGUCCCCUUAAGAAUUAAGAUGGUCACUGAAGAAAUUUUAAACUUAUCUUGGCAGUACACAACUAUAUAUUGUAUUUGCUUCUCCUUGCAUACCUACCUUUUGACAGGACUGGACCACAACCCAUUGAUUUAGAAUGUGUUUUGCUCAUAAUACGUCGUAACCUUGAGUAUCCUCUGAUCAUUUUGUUGCUUGUUCUGUACAGAUUGGUGAGGAAGAUUGUGAACCUGGACAAUCAUAUUGCAGGAGCCAUAAGUGUGCAAUAUUGUCUGUCGGUUUACACCUGAUGCCAAAACUGUAAAGCAGUUUAAAGAGAAGAUAGAUGAUGAAUAUUGAGUGAACAUAACAAGCAUUUACUGUCCUUAGCUGAAGACAGCUAGGGAAGCAGCAAAAUUUGCAGUUACAGGAAGUGCUAUUGGAGUUGUAUCAACUGCUGGACUUGUGUGGAAAUAUUCAAGGAGUUUGCAUGGUAAUCAACUUCCUCUUCUUUUCAGGGUUAAUUAACGUACUCUUCUGUUUGAACAAACUUGCCCCCUAUUGCUUCGAGUUUUUACUAAGGUGAAAGAAACAGUUGGGAUUGAUGAUAUAAGAAAGAGAUACCAUGAACUUGGUAUGUUUAUGAAUUGGCUUCCUCUGCAGAGAGUGAGUUGGCUGGGGUACAACAAGAGUUUCUCAAGGUGUGGUACUUUCAUAUGGUAUUGCUGAUAGAAGAGAAAAGGGGAGCUGGGGUAGAAGCUCGAGAGCUUAAGAAAGAUGAUGAAGUGUGGCUGGUCGGUAGAGCAGUUUAGAGCACUAGAUGAUCUGGUAU